AUGGGCCAAGAGAAUUUCACAGCUAUUACUGAAUUUAUUCUUUUGGGACUGACAGACUGUGCUGGCUUGAAAAUUAGAUUUUUUGUGUUGUUCUUGGUGAUUUAUGUCGUUACCUUGGUGGGGAAUCUGGGCAUGAUUUUCUUAAUCCAGAUAACUCCCAAGGUCCACACACCCAUGUACUUUUUCCUCAGCUGCCUUUCAUUUGUAGAUGCCUGCUAUUCAUCUGUUACUGCACCGAAAAUGCUGAUCAGCUUCUGGGUUGUGAGGGAAACCAUCUCAAUCUCUGCCUGCAUAGUGCAGCAUUUAUGUUUUGGGGUGUUUAUCACCACAGAAGUCUUCUUGUUGUCAGUGAUGGCAUAUGACCGUUAUGUGGCCAUUGUCAACCCUUUGCUUUACAGUGUAGCCAUGUCUAAGAGGAAGUGUGUAGGGCUGGUCACUGGGUCAUGGAUAUGUGGAAUAAUUAACUCAUUAAUACACACAAGCUUCGGCAGACUGUCGUUCUGUAGGUUGAAUGUUGUUAGUCAUUUCUUCUGUGAUAUUCCCUCACUCCUAAAGCUGUCAUGUUCUGAUACUUCCAUGAAUGAAUUGUUGCUCUUCCUUCUCUGGAGUCAUUGCCAUGGCCACCUUCUUGAUUGUGAUCAUUUCCUACAUGUUCAUUGUUUUUGCUAUCCUGAGGAUCCACUCAGCCACAGGCAGACAGAAAGCCUUCUCCACCUGUGCCUCCUACCUGACUGCUGUGACCAUAUUCUAUGGUACCUUAAGCUUUAGUUACAUCCAGCCAAGUUCCCAGUAUUCCGUAGAACAGGAGAAGGUGGUUUCUGUGUUCUAUACACUAGUGAUUCCCGUGUUAAACCCACUUAUUUACAGUCUGAGAACAAAGAGGUAAAGGAUGCUGUGGAAAGGGCCAUAGAAAUGAAACAUUUCCCCUGUUAA